AUUGAACGCUGGCGGCAGGCCUAACACAUGCAAGUCGAACGACUGACGGACGGGUGAGUAAUGUCUGGCAAACUGCCCGAUGGAGGGGGAUAACUACUGGACACGGUAGCUAAUACCGCAUACCAUCGGAUGUGCCCAGAUGGGAUUAGAUUGUAGGUGAGGUAACGGCGCACCCAGGCGCUGAUCCCUAGCCGGCCUGAGCGGAUGACCAGUCACAUUGGAACUGAGACACGUGCCCGACUCUCACGGGAGGCAGAAGUGGGGAAUAUCGGACCAUCGGAGCAACCCGGCUGCAGCCAUGCCGCGGCUCCGCAGAAGCCCGUAGGGUGUGAAAGUAUAUUCGGCCGGGAGGCGUUACCAACAGAAUAAGCACCGGCUAACCCCGUGCGAGCAGCCGCGGUAAUUC
rnacentral:rRNA from 1 species